GACUCAUUUCAUUAGUGUCAGUUUAACAGUUGGAUACAUGGGCCAGGGGUAACAUUAAUGAUUACUUGUGAGUUAAGUGGACACGAGCUCUUACGUAAAAUGCCAACGGCACAGAGACCUUCCCAGGCGCUGUUGCCGGCAGGCGCCACCCUUGGCGAGAGCCCUGGUGGGCAGGGUGCGGCCACGGGUCUGGGGAGCUGGAACUCCCAGGAGGAUGGCUUAAGAAGGAUCCGUAAACCCCAGCAGCCCUGGCGGGGCCUCACCUGGAGCUCGGCCCAGGACGCCCCUGGAAAGGACUGGGAAGUUGUUCGUCUCAGACCCUGGACUGUAACCCGGACGGAGACACCGAGAUAGAUGUGAGAAUGAUCUGUUUCCUGCUGAUCACAGGAUUUAUCUGAAUGAGCGACCCCCCGUUUUUAAAAUGCACAUCCCUUCCACAUCCACAUGCUCAGUUGAGAAGAGCCUUCUUCCACAGAAAAGGCCAAUUUUUCCAUCAAGUUAUGUUGCACCGUGGGAAACAAACAGAAAUUGUCCCUCAUCUCCAGAGGCCAUAAUCUGAAACAGGCAAAAUGGUAGCAGGAGAAAAGAUGCAGACGACACGGAAGUACCGAGCCUGCCCAGGAUGACGACGUAACUUAGCGCAAUGCUCACAACUGGCAUGGGUCAAGUUUUAUGUAGAGCUAGUAACAUACUUUUUGUAGGACCGUUGCCUCUCGAGGAUUUUAUUUGCCCUUGGCCGGGUUUGCCCAGGGAGCCCGGGGCUGCUGGGCUCCACGAGAAGCGCUUGCUGGGCUGUCCCUCCCUCCCGUUCCCACCUCUCAGGAGCCGGCGCUCUCUCAUUUCUGCUUUGCUGACAGAUGUGCUUCACGAGCCCCUCCGCAAAGUUGCGUUCCUGAGCGUACUUGUCGUUUCGGCUGUGCCUUGACGCUGUGCCCUUGAGCAUGGUUGGCCCCGUGCUGACCCUGCCUAGACUCCACUCUCUCACCUCUUUACUCAAGUCUACCCUCUACCUCGAUCCGCUUCUUGCUCUCUGUGUCCUGCUCCCCAAGCCCCCAGGGGUGCCACCUGCCUGGUCCAGCGCCUCUUGUGUUCUCUUGGUGAACUGGACGGGUUGCCCGUGAGUCAGGGGAUGCAAUCAACUAUUAUCUGGGUGGUGGGUCCAGAUGACUUUCCUGCGUACCAGGCGGGGUGGAAUUGGCGAAGAGAUCCCUGCCAACCUGGGCCUUCUGGGAACCCGGGAAUGAUGGCGCCGUCCAUUUCUGGUCCUUUGGGGACGCUCUGCUCACUGGCUAGAGAGACCUUCGUUGUCAUUCACCAUGAUGGUCAUCGGUAAUUUUGAUACGGAAGCUCCACGAUUCACUUACCAAUUUUACGUGUGUAUCUCAACAUGCCA